CGAAAGCCUGAUCCAGCAAUGCCGCGUGUGCGAUGAAGGCUUUCGGGUUGUAAAGCACUUUUGUCAGGGAAGAAAUGGUUCGGGCCAAUACCUCGGACUUCUGACGGUACCUGAAGAAUAAGCACCGGCUAACUACGUGCCAGCAGCCGCGGUAAUACGUAGGGUGCGAGCGUUAAUCGGAAUUACUGGGCGUAAAGCGUGCGCAGGCGGUUUACUAAGACAGGUGUGAAAUCCCCGGGCUUAACCUGGGAACUGCAUCUGUGACUAGUAGACUAGAGUUUGGCAGAGGGGGGUGGAAUUCCU
rnacentral:rRNA from 1 species